rnacentral:rRNA from 2 species
ACAUGCAAGUCGAACGAAGGCUCUAGCUUGCUAGAUGUCCUUAGUGGCGAACGGGUGAGUAACGCGUGGGAACCUACCUUGGAGCGGGGAAUAACUAUUGGAAACGAUAGCUAAUACCGCAUACGCCCUCAGGGGGAAAGGCUUCGGCCACUCUAAGACGGUCCCGCGUCUGAUUAGCUUGUUGGUAAGGUAACGGCUUACCAAGGCGACGAUCAGUAGCUGGUCUGAGAGGAUGAUCAGCCACACUGGGACUGAGACACGGCCCAGACUCC